rnacentral:rRNA from 1 species
UACGUAAGGUCCGAGCGUUGUCCGGAAUCAUUGGGCGUAAAGGGUACGUAGGUGGUUAGAAAAGUUAGAAGUGAAAGGCUAUAGCUCAACUAUAGUAAGCUUUUAAAACUGUUUAACUUGAGAGAUGGAAGGGAAAGUGGAAUUCCAUGUGUAGCGGUGAAAUGCGCAGAGAUAUGGAGGAACACCAGUGGCGAAGGCGACUUUCUGGCCAUAAACUGACGCUGAGGUACGAAAGCGUGGGUAGCAAACAGG